rnacentral:lncRNA from 1 species
UGAAGGAGACUCAGAACAACUGAAGGGCCAUUUUAAGCUUGUUCUGUUUCCAUUUUGGCAUCUUAUAGAAGGCAUCCUUUGUCAUCCCAAAUUUCUCCCUGAACUCUGCUGAUGAGAGGUAAGUCUGCAGGAAAUAAAGUGAAAUAUCUAAGAACAGUCCCAUAAUUUAUAGCUUAAGAUCAUAUAUUACUGAUCGUUUUCAUUUACCUCUCGCUUUGUCACAUCAAUUUCACUGAUAGGGUCUGUUGAGUUGAUUUUAAGGCGUUCAUAUGGAUAUAUUGGGAGCCCUUCCUCAUCUUCAGCUUCACCCUCUUUCACAUCUUCCUGUAUGGUGAGGGAUCCUAAUUUGCUGCUCAUAGAGUUCUCCUUAUUGUUCGAGUCAGGUUUAGGUGUUGAUUUCUCAGGAGUUGAUAUCGGUGAUUCAGGGUUGACUUCAUACAACACAAAUAGUCCCAUCAAAUUUAUAUACCAAGAUAAUUGGAUUAACUGUAGAACACAACUGCUGUCAAGAAAGUACAAUAAUAUAUACCUUUGACAGAGCGGGGCAUGAUAACUUGUCGUGCUGGUGGCGGUUGUUCAAAAGAUGCAGUGAGUGCUGCUAUAGCUGCAGAUUUGGAAGCCAUAUUUGCUGAAUCUGGCGUCACAGAUUUUGGAAA